CGAACGCUGGCGGCGUGCCUAAUACAUGCAAGUCGAGCGGACAGAUGGGAGCUUGCUCCCUGAUGUUAGCGGCGGACGGGUGAGUAACACGUGGGUAACCUGCCUGUAAGACUGGGAUAACUCCGGGAAACCGGGGCUAAUACCGGAUGGUUGUUUGAACCGCAUGGUUCAAACAUAAAAGGUGGCUUCGGCUACCACUUACAGAUGGACCCGCGGCGCAUUAGCUAGUUGGUGAGGUAACGGCUCACCAAGGCGACGAUGCGUAGCCGACCUGAGAGGGUGAUCGGCCACACUGGGACUGAGACACGGCCCAGACUCCUACGGGAGGCAGCAGUAGGGAAUCUUCCGCAAUGGACGAAAGUCUGACGGAGCAACGCCGCGUGAGUGAUGAAGGUUUUCGGAUCGUAAAGCUCUGUUGUUAGGGAAGAACAAGUACCGUUCGAAUAGGGCGGUACCUUGACGGUACCUAACCAGAAAGCCACGGCUAACUACGUGCCAGCAGCCGCGGUAAUACGUAGGUGGCAAGCGUUGUCCGGAAUUAUUGGGCGUAAAGGGCUCGCAGGCGGUUUCUUAAGUCUGAUGUGAAAGCCCCCGGCUCAACCGGGGAGGGUCAUUGGAAACUGGGGAACUUGAGUGCAGAAGAGGAGAGUGGAAUUCCACGUGUAGCGGUGAAAUGCGUAGAGAUGUGGAGGAACACCAGUGGCGAAGGCGACUCUCUGGUCUGUAACUGAC
rnacentral:rRNA from 1 species